rnacentral:rRNA from 1 species
CCUACGGGAGGCAGCAGUGGGGAAUAUUGGACAAUGGGCGAAAGCCUGAUCCAGCAAUGCCGCGUGAGUGAUGAAGGCCUUAGGGUCGUAAAGCUCUUUUACCCGGGAUGAUAAUGACAGUACCGGGAGAAUAAGCCCCGGCUAACUCCGUGCCAGCAGCCGCGGUAAUACGGAGGGGGCUAGCGUUGUUCGGAAUUACUGGGCGUAAAGCGUGCGUAGGCGGUUAUUCAAGUCAGAGGUGAAAGCCCGGGGCUCAACCCCGGAACGGCCUUUGAAACUAGGUAGCUAGAAUCUUGGAGAGGUCAGUGGAAUUCCGAGUGUAGAGGUGAAAUUCGUAGAUAUUCGGAAGAACACCAGUGGCGAAGGCGACUGACUGGACAAGUAUUGACGCUGAGGCACGAAAGCGUGGGGAGCAAACAGGAUUAGAUACCCUGGUAGUCCACGCCGUAAACGAUGAUAACUAGCUGUUCGGGUACUUGGUAUCUGAGUGGCGCAGCUAACGCAUUAAGUUAUCCGCCUGGGGAGUACGGUCGCAAGAUUAAAACUUAAAGGAAUUGACGG